AGCCUCGUGUGCUGAUUUGCGGAGGUAGAGCACUGGAUGAACUAGGGCCCAUACCCGGGUACCGAAUUCAAUCAAACUCCGAAUGCCGCAGAGUGUAACACGGGAGUCAGUGCGUGAGGGAUAAGCUUCACGCGCGAGAGGCAAACAUGCCAGACCAGCAGCUAAGGUGCCCAAAUGCCGUUUAGUGGAAAGGAUGUGAAGAUACUUAGACAAUGAGGAUGUUGGCUUAGAGGCAGCCACCAUUUAAACAGUGCGUAAUAGCUGACUCAUCGAGCGAUGUCGCGCCGAAAAUGAUUGGCGAUAAACGGUAUGCCGAAGCUAUGGAUUCCAGAGGGUUUCGACCUUUUGGAGUGGUAGGAGAGCGUUCUCAGCGCAGUGAAGCCGAACUGAAAAGGAUGGUGGAGCGCUGAGAAGUGAGAAUGCAGACAUGAGUAGCGAUAAACCAGAUGAGAAUUCUGGUCGCCGUAAACCCAAGGUUUCCUGGGGCAGGUUCGUCCUCCCAGGGUUAGCCGGGAGCUAAGAUGAGGCCGUAAGGCGUAAUCGAUGCACAGAUGGUUAAUAUUCCAUCGCCGGUCCGGUUUAAGGCCAACAGGUACGCAUAGAGAAAACCCACUAGACAAUCGAAUGUCGAGCCGAGCCUUCGGGCAAAGCGCAUGGGCGGACAAUGUGCCGAGAAAAGCUGUUGGUUGUUCCCCGGACCGCCCGUACCGCAAACCGACACAGGUGGGUGAGUCGAGUAGACUAAGG
rnacentral:rRNA from 1 species